rnacentral:tRNA from 1 species
CAGUGGCUCAGUAGGUAGAGCGCUCGUCUAUUAUAUAACAGUUGUGGUUUCGAAUCCCACCUG